rnacentral:rRNA from 1 species
GGACGACCAGCCACACUGGAACUGAGACACGCUCCAGACUCCUACGGGAGGCAGCAGUGGGGAAUUUUGGACAAUGGGGGCAACCCUGAUCCAGCCAUUCCGCGUGAGUGAAGAAGGCCUUCGGGUUGUAAAGCUCUUUCAGCAGGAACGAAACGGUGGCCCCUAAUACGGGCUACUAAUGACGGUACCUGAAGAAGAAGCACCGGCUAACUACGUGCCAGCAGCCGCGGUAAUACGUAGGGUGCGAGCGUUAAUCGGAAUUACUGGGCGUAAAGCGUGCGCAGGCGGUUCCAUAAGACAGAUGUGAAAUCCCCGGGCUUAACCUGGGAACUGCGUUUGUGACUGUGGGACUGGAGUGUGGCAGAGGGGGGUGGAAUUCCACGUGUAGCAGUGAAAUGCGUAGAGAUGUGGAGGAACACCGAUGGCGAAGGCAGCCCCCUGGGUCAACACUGACGCUCAUGCACGAAAGCGUGGGGAGCAAACAGGAUUAGAUACCCUGGUAGUCCACGCCCUAAACGAUGCGAACUAGGUGUUGGGGAAGGAGACUUCCUUAGUACCGCAGCUAACGCGUGAAGUUCGCCGCCUGGGGAGUACGGUCGCAAGAUUAAAACUCAAAGGAAUUGACGGGGACCCGCACAAGCGGUGGAUGAUGUGGAUUAAUUCGAUGCAACGCGAAAAACCUUACCUACCCUUGACAUGCCAGGAAGUCCGCUGAGAGGUGGAUGUGCCCGAAAGGGAACCUGGACACAGGUGCUGCAUGGCUGUCGUCAGCUCGUGUCGUGAGAUGUUGGGUUAAGUCCCGCAACGAGCGCAACCCUUGUCAUUAAUUGCCAUCAUUCAGUUGGGCACUUUAAUGAGACUGCCGGUGACAAACCGGAGGAAGGUGGGGAUGACGUCAAGUCCUCAUGGCCCUUAUGGGUAGGGCUCACAUGUCAUACAAUGGUCGGUACAGAGGGUUGCCAACCCGCGAGGGGGAGCCAAUCCCACAAAGCCGAUCGUAGUCCGGAUCGCAGUCUGCAACUCGACUGCGUGAAGUCGGAAUCGCUAGUAAUCGUGGAUCAGCAUGUCACGGUGAAUACGUUCCCGGGUCUUGUACACACCGCCCGUCACACCAUGGGAGUGGGUUCCACCAGAAGUAGGUAGUCUAACCGCAAGGAGGGCGCUUACCACGGUGGGAUUCAUGACUGGGGUGAAGUCGUAACAAGGUA